GACGAACGCUGGCGGCGUGCUUAACACAUGCAAGUCGAACGGUAAGGCCCUUCGGGGUACACGAGUGGCGAACGGGUGAGUAACACGUGGGUGAUCUGCCCUGCACUUCGGGAUAAGCGUGGGAAACUGGGUCUAAUACCGGAUAGGACUCCUGGCUUCAUGGUUGGGGGGGGAAAGCUUUUGCGGUGUGGGAUGGGCCCGCGGGCUAUGAGCUUGUUGGUGGGGUAAUGGCCUACCAAGGCGACGACGGGUAGCCGGCCUGGGAGGGUGACCGGUCACCCGGGGACUGAGAUACGGCCCAGACGCCUACGGGAGGCAGCAGUGGGGAAUAUUGCACAAUGGGCGCAAGCCUGAUGCAGCGACGCCGCGUGAGGGAUGACGGCCUUCGGGUUGUAAACCUCUUUCAGCUAUGACGAAGCGCAAGUGACGGUAGUAGCAGAAGAAGGACCGGCCAACUACGUGCCAGCCGCCGCGGUAA
rnacentral:rRNA from 1 species